GAUGAACGCUGGCGGCGUGCCUAAUACAUGCAAGUCGAGCGAACGGACGAGAAGCUUGCUUCUCUGAUGUUAGCGGCGGACGGGUGAGUAACACGAGGAUAACCUACCUAUAAGACUGGGAUAACUUCGGGAAACCGGAGCUAAUACCGGAUAAUAUUUUGAACCGCAUGGUUCAAAAGUGAAAGACGGUCUUGCUGUCACUUAUAGAUGGAUCCGCGCUGCAUUAGCUAGUUGGUAAGGUAACGGCUUACCAAGGCAACGAUGCGUAGCCGACCUGAGAGGGUGAUAGGCCACACUGGAACUGAGCCACGGUCCAGACUCCUACGGGAGGCAGCAGUAGGGAAUCUUCCGCAAUGGGCGAAAGCCUGACGGAGCAACGCCGCGUGAGUGAUGAAGGUCUUCGGAUCGUAAAACUCUGUUAUUAGGGAAGAACAUAUGUGUAAGUAACUGUGCACAUCUUGACGGUACCUAAUCAGAAAGCCACGGCUAACUACGUG
rnacentral:rRNA from 1 species